AGACCCUUGUUGGAGAAGCAGGUCACGUGCAGAGGCCCGGCUUCGACCCUCAUUACCUCUGCACGUGAUCCUCUUCUCCAACAUGGAUUC
rnacentral:pre_miRNA from 1 species